CGCCGAGCGGCCGAGUUCAUCGAUGGCGGGGCUGCCUUUAUGGCGAGCUGUGCGUUCUCCCCGUGUGUAGUUCAGGUCUGAAGGGCCUGGAGAGGAAGCUCCAGUGGCCGCACAAACCCAGCCCUUGGGCUGCUUUUCACCUGGAUUGCCUCUGCCUGCUCUGCCAGCAGGCUGUGCACGGCUGCAGACACUACCUGCGUUCAGCGUGCCUGGGCUGAUGCUCCUGUGUAUCCCACAGGGAUGAGCUUCACUCCCCAAAACCUUUAAUGCAAAGCAGGAUUUUACUCGACGUUCUUCUAGUUUCGUGUCCCGUCCUUCAAAGUCAGUGUAACUGACCAGAAAGCAAAGAUACCCAGCGUUUCUCAGGCGGCACAAAGCACUUGGGGACAGUCAGACCUGAUGGAAGCUCAUGCUGAGCAAUCACAAGAGCUACGAUUUGGGGAUGUGGAUGGAGGGAGCGCGAAUAGCAGUCAAAAGGAGAGAGAAAUCUGUCAACUGGUUUCUGGAGCAGCACUUCCAAGGUAUUUUCUAAGUACUGGAUUUCAGUCUGAGGACUUGUCUGGCCUAGUAUAAAGCAGG
rnacentral:lncRNA from 1 species